rnacentral:rRNA from 1 species
UACGGGGGGAGCAAGCGUUGUUCGGAUUUACUGGGCGUAAAGGGCGCGUAGGCGGUCGUGACAAGUCACUUGUGAAAUCUCCGGGCUUAACUCGGAACGGUCAAGUGAUACUGUCGGACUAGAGUACAGAAGGGGCAACUGGAAUUCUCGGUGUAGCGGUGAAAUGCGUAGAUAUCGAGAGGAACACCUGCGGCGAAAGCGCUCUACUGGGCCAUAACUGACACUGAGGGACGAAAGCUAGGGGAGCGAAAGGG